GUCUACGGCCAUACUACCCUGAACACACCGAUCUCGGAAGCUAAGGAGGGUCGGGCCUGGUUAGUAUUUGGAUGGGAGAAUUACAGAUCAUAUUGUAGGCC
rnacentral:rRNA from 1 species